UACGUAGGUGGCAAGCGUUGUCCGGAUUUACUGGGCGUAAAGAGCGCGCAGGCGGUCGAAUAAGUCGAAUGUGAAAGCCCCCGGCUUAACUGGGGAGGGUCAUUCGAUACUGCUCGACUUGAAGGCAGGAGAGGGUAGUGGAAUUCCCGGUGUAGUGGUGAAAUGCGUAGAUAUCGGGAGGAACACCAGUGGCGAAGGCGACUACCUGGCCUGUUCUUGACGCUGAGGAGCGAAAGCGUGGGGAGCGAACAGG
rnacentral:rRNA from 1 species